rnacentral:rRNA from 1 species
CGGAGGAUCCGAGCGUUAUCCGGAGUGACUGGGCGUAAAGAGUUGCGUAGGUGGUUAGUUAGGCAGAUAGUGAAAUCUUGUGGCUCAACCAUGAGGCUAUUAUCUGAACUGGCUAACUUGAGAAUGAGAGAGGUAAUUGGAAUUCCCAGUGUAGCGGUGAAAUGCGUAGAUAUUGGGAAGAACACCAAUGGCGUAGGCAGAUUACUGGCUCAUUUCUGACACUAAGGCACGAAAGCGUGGGGAGCGAACCGGAUUAGAUACCCGGGUAGUCCACGCCGUAAACUAUGGAUGCUAACUGUUGGGCGCUCGACCCGUCCAGUAGUGAAGCUAACGCGUUAAGCAUCCCGCCUGGGGAUACGGUCGCAAGAUUA